rnacentral:lncRNA from 1 species
UUUACACUUAUGCUGACACAGAGUCAUCACAACUUGCUAAGUAUGGAAAGAGAAAUUCUUAGGACAUUCAGGACACUGCUUUUCAUGUACUAGGUUGUACCACACUCAAUAUGGAUGAGACAGUGACCCCGACAACUCAUAAUUCAGUUUUUUGUCUUAUAUUGGGAUAUGCACUUCCAAUUAAGUUCAGUGAUCAUCAUGGAAGAAAAGGACAGAAAGAUUGUAAGAGUCAGAGGAGUGUAUUAAUGCAGCAAAAUGGUGUUUUCUGGAAAUGACAAGGGAGCUUCACACAUCAACUCAUGUGGUGAUAUCUUGUUUAUGAACUAAUAAUACUUGUCUGAAGAUUACAAUAUAAAGGUAGUCACAGCUACAGAAGCUUGGCAAUGAU